UACGUAGGCAGCGAGCGUUGUUCGGAAUUACUGGGCGUAAAGAGUGUGUAGGUGGUGCUCUAAGUUCGGUGUGAAAUCUCCCGGCUUAACUGGGAGGGUGCGCCGAAAACUGGAGUGCUCGAGCGUGGGAGAGGAAAGCGGAAUUCCUGGUGUAGCGGUGAAAUGCGUAGAUAUCAGGAGGAACACCGGUGGCGAAGGCGGCUUCCUGGACCGACACUGACGCUGAGGCGCGAAAGCUAGGGGAGCAAACGGG
rnacentral:rRNA from 1 species